rnacentral:rRNA from 1 species
UACGUAGGGUGCAAGCGUUGUCCGGAAUUAUUGGGCGUAAAGAGCUCGUAGGCGGUCUGUCGCGUCGGCUGUGAAAACCCGGGGCUCAACCCCGGGCCUGCAGUCGAUACGGGCAGACUAGAGUGCGGUAGGGGAGACUGGAAUUCCUGGUGUAGCGGUGGAAUGCGCAGAUAUCAGGAGGAACACCGGUGGCGAAGGCGGGUCUCUGGGUAGUAACUGACGCUGAGGAACGAAAGCGUGGGUAGCGAACAGG